rnacentral:rRNA from 1 species
GCUAGUUGUGCGGGUUUAGACCCGCAGCGGAAAGCUCCGUAACACGUGGCCAAGCUACCCUCUGGACCGGAAUACCCUCGGGAAACUGAGGCUAAUCCCCGAUAACUGCUUUGCAUCCUGGAACAGGGGCAAAGUCGGAAACGCUCCGCCGCCACAGGACGUGACUGCGGUCGAUUAGGUAGACGGUGGGGUAACGGCCCACCGUGCCCAUAAUCGGUACGGGUUGUGAGAGCAAGAGCCCGGAGACGGAAUCUGAGACAAGAUACCGGGCCCUACGGGGCGCAGGCAGGCGCGAAACCUUUACACUGCACGCCAGUGCGAUAAGGGGACUCCGAGUGCGAGGGCAUACAGUCCUUCGCUUUUCGUGCACCGUAAGAAGGUCUCACGAAUAAGAGACUGGGCAAGACCGGUGCCAGCCGCCGCGGUAAUACCGGCAGCUCGGGGUGAUAGCCACUAUUAUUGGGCCUAAAGCGUCCGUAGCCGCGCCGAACAGGUCCGUCGGGAAAUCCACCUGCUCAACGGGGUGGGACGUCCGGGCGGA